rnacentral:misc_RNA from 1 species
GAUGAAGAACGUAGCGAAAUGCGAUAAGUAAUGUGAAUUGCAGAAUUCAGUGAAUCAUCGAAUCUUUGAACGCACCUUGCGCCCUUUGGCCAUUCCGAAGGGCAUGCCUGUUUGAGUAUCAUGAACACCUCAACUCUUCAUGGUUUUCCGUGAUGAGCUUGGACUUUGGGGGUCUUGCUGGCCUAUGGUCAGCUCCUCUAAAAUAAAUCAGCUUGCCAGUGUUUGGUGGGUAUCACAGGUGUGAUAACUAUCUACGCUUGUGGUUUUCCACCAGGUAACCUUCAGCAGUGGAGGUUCGCUGGAGCUCACAGUUGUGUCUCUCCUCAGUGAGGACAGCUCUUUGAAUGUUUGAUCUCAAAUCAGGUAGGACUACCCGCUGAACUUAAGCAUAUCAAUAAGCGGAGGA